GUUGUUGUUGCUUCCCAAUCCAACACCUCGAUAAUUAACCAACCCAGCAGAAGAAGAGGGAGAAGUAACUAAACCAGAACCAACCUUUCCAUUCCCAUUACUGUUAUUAUUAGUUGAAGGGAACCCAGAAGCAGGAAAAGGAGACAAAUUAGUACCAAUGCUUGGAAACCCACCAGCAAUUCCACAAAUGCCCUCAAACCCAGGACCCUGAUCAACAAUCCCCAACGCACCAACGCCAUUGCCAUCAAAAUCCGGCGGAUUGUUUCCACCCUGCAAUAGCUGCCUUAGCCCAUAAGAUUCAUCCACAUCCCCCGCGAUCCACCUC
rnacentral:misc_RNA from 1 species